rnacentral:rRNA from 1 species
GUCCAUGCCGUAAACGUUGGGCACUAGGUGUGGGGGACAUUCCACGUUUUCCGCGCCGUAGCUAACGCAUUAAGUGCCCCGCCUGGGGAGUACGGCCGCAAGGCUAAAACUCAAAGGAAUUGACGGGGGCCCGCACAAGCGGCGGAGCAUGCGGAUUAAUUCGAUGCAACGCGAAGAACCUUACCAAGGCUUGACAUGGACCGGACCGCCGCAGAGAUGUGGUUUCUCCUUUUGGGGCCGGUUCACAGGUGGUGCAUGGUUGUCGU